AGUCCUUGCAUACCCAAAAUUCCCCGUCAGAAGUGUAAUGCAGAAGCAGACCGACAUAUACCAUCGUCCAGCUCUGACGGCAGCGUCACACCAGCAGCAGCAGAGAAAUAAGGAUGACUGUGAAAAGUGAUAUUCAUCAAUACCACUUCACAACAGACAUAGUGCCCCACUGCCACCUCCAUGGGGCUGACAGCUGGAGCUCCACCGUCUCCAGAAAUUAAGGUUGGCUACUCGAGCCUACUGUGAAGCACUACAUCGACAUCCUUCUUGGUUUCUUGUUGUAAUUUUGCACUCGUUGGUGUCUUCCUGUGUGUCCGGUACUUCCAGUCCUUCAUGAUAUGCUCAUGAUCAGGAAAAGGCGACUUCUUUCAGAACACAAAAUUCUAUUCAAUGAGGGAAAAGAAUGCUCAACUGUAGCUGUUGUGACUGGGAGUAGCAAGAGAUGGAUUCCUACUUCUUUCAUCCCAGGAAACAUAGUACAAAGAUUGGGUCAAACUACUAGUGAUGAUAAAGAAGUUGAAAUUAAAUCUU